rnacentral:lncRNA from 1 species
AAGUGCUUCGGUCAGGCAGUAUCUUUGAAAAUAAUUUGGCCAAUGAAAGCCCUGGCAUUGGAUGAAAGUGCUAGCUGCUGGGAAUGCUACCCCUCCUUUUGGUUCUCUUUCAAGUCCUUCAGGUUCAAACAAUACAGAAGUGUAUAAAGUAAGAAUUGAAAGUCUCUUCGCUGCUCUAAUCUCACUCCUCAGAGGUGAUCACUGAUUAUCAUCCCAGAGCCCUCCCUGAAGCCCACACACAGCUUCUUCAGGAAAUGCUGACAGCAUGGUAUACACAUGGCUUCCAUGUUUGUCAUGGUUCCAAAGUUUGCUUUUGAAAGAGUUUAAUUUCUUUCUUUCUUUCUUUCUUUCUUUCCUUUAUUGGCUAAACUCCCCCCACAGGACCUGAGUGAGCAGAAGGCUUUUCAGAAUUACAGCCUGAACUAUUUCUUGAGCAAUUUGGGAACUCAUUUCUAAAGCAGUCCUCAGAUUCACACAACGUAGUUUGUGACGGAGUAUGCCCAGAGCAGUGUUAUCACCAGUGCUUUCAGUAACUGCAUACUUAUAAAACAGCCAAACUUCAACCUGUGUUCAGUUUUUAUCUGUUUCUUGGGAAUGUAAUUUGGACAAAAAAGUUACCAAUGUAUUUACAACCAAAUUUCAGAUCUUCAACAUUACAGAGGCUGUCUUGUUGAUGGGGGUGCACCCUGACGAAUGGUGUGCUGGCAAAGAUUUAACAAAAGGCUCCAGAGGAGGGCAGACUUGAAGUGGAGCCUUCAGUGGGCAGUGUGAAGGGUGCUGAUUUCAAACAACUCAUCUGGUAUGACUGAACAUGAAGUUGGGAAGAGAUGUGCAUAAUUGAAGUGGGUGAGAGCCAGUCCAGCACCCUGCAGAGAGUGUGGAAGAUGAUCAAAGUAUGACAUUUCUUCUACCCCAGAGGCUGGCAUUUCUGCAGGCACAAAUGAGCUUGGUUUUCAAGCACUGCUCUUUGAACACAAGGAAUUCCUUUAAUGAUCACGCCGGACUAUAUAGACUUUGGAAUCA